rnacentral:rRNA from 1 species
GGAUCAAUGGGUCGGUCGUGCCAAUGGUAUGUACUGGCCUCUUUGGUUCUCACCUUCUAAGGAACCGUGAUGUCAUUCAUUUGAUGUUGCGGGGAAUUAGGACUGUUACCUUGAAAAAAUUAGAGUGUUUAAAGCAGGCCAACGCUUGAAUACAUUAGCAUGGAAUAAUGAAAUAGGACA